GAUGAACGCUGGCGGCGUGCCUAAUACAUGCAAGUCGAGCGAACGGACGAGAAGCUUGCUUCUCUGAUGUUAGCGGCGGACGGGUGAGUAACACGUGGAUAACCUACCUAUAAGACUGGGAUAACUUCGGGAAACCGUAGCUAAUACCGGAUAAUAUUUUGAACCGCAUGGGUCAAAAGUGAAAGACGGUCUUGCUGUCACUUAUAGAUGGAUCCGCGCUGCAUUAGCUAGUUGGUAAGGUAACGGCUUACCAAGGCAACGAUGCAUAGCCGACCUGAGAGGGUGAUCGGCCACACUGGAACUGAGACACGGUCCAGACUACUACGGGAGGCAGCAGUCGGGAAUCUUCCGCAAUGGGCGAAAGCAUGACGGAGCAACGCCGCGUGAGUGAUGAAGGUCUUCGGAUCGUAAAAAUCUGUUAUUAGGGAAGAACAUAUGUGUAAGUAACUGUGCACAUCUUGACGGUACCUAAUCAGAAAGCCACGGCUAACUACGUG
rnacentral:rRNA from 1 species